rnacentral:lncRNA from 1 species
GAUAGGGACAGGGAAGCCUUUCUCAUCCCCGCCCCAUUUUGUAGACAUCUUUAAUUACUAACACAACGAUAAAGAGAGGUCAAGUUUGAAGAAGUGUGGCCUAUCUGGGAAGGUUCAUAUCAAGAUAUGUUAUAGUGGUAUAUGACGACCAGUACUGCAAACUUUUGUUGAAAUUAACAAUCAAAUGUAACGAUGUAGUUUCGUUGGGAUUUUAACAUGUGGAGCAUUGUGGUCAUACUGGGGGC